ACACAUGCAGUCGAGCGAUGAGGGGAGCUUGCUCCCUGAUUUAGCGGCGGACGGGUGAGUAAUGCGUAGGAAGCUGCCCGAUAGAGGGGGAUACCAGUUGGAAACGACUGUUAAUACCGCAUAAUGUCUACGGACCAAAGUGUGGGACCUUCGGGCCACAUGCUAUCGGAUGCGCCUACGUGGGAUUAGCUAGUUGGUGGGGUAAAGGCUCACCAAGGCGACGAUCCCUAGCUGGUUUGAGAGGAUGAUCAGCCACACUGGAACUGAGACACGGUCCAGACUCCUACGGGAGGCAGCAGUGGGGAAUAUUGGACAAUGGGCGCAAGCCUGAUCCAGCCAUGCCGCGUGUGUGAAGAAGGCCUUCGGGUUGUAAAGCACUUUCAGUGGGGAGGAAGGGGUGU
rnacentral:rRNA from 1 species